rnacentral:rRNA from 1 species
AUUGAACGCUGGCGGAAUGCUUUACACAUGCAAGUCGAACGGCAGCACGGACUUCGGUCUGGUGGCGAGUGGCGAACGGGUGAGUAACAUAUCGGAACGUAUCCAAUAAUGGGGGAUAACUAAUCGAAAGGUUGGCUAAUACCGCAUACGCCCUACGGGGGAAAGCUAGGGACCUUCGGGCCUGGCGUUAAUGGAGCGGCCGAUAUCUGAUUAGCUAGUUGGUGGGGUAAAGGCCCACCAAGGCGACGAUCAGUAGCUGGUCUGAGAGGACGACCAGCCACACUGGAACUGAGACACGGUCCAGACUCCUACGGGAGGCAGCAGUGGGGAAUUUUGGACAAUGGGCGCAAGCCUGAUCCAGCCAUUCCGCGUGAGUGAAGAAGGCCUUCGGGUUGUAAAGCUCUUUCGCAAGGGAAGAAAACUUAUCCUCUAACAUAGGGUGAGGUUGACGGUACCUUGAUAAGAAGCACCGGCUAACUACGUGCCAGCCGCCGCGGUAACAC